rnacentral:tRNA from 1 species
UGAAUUUUAAGUUAAAUAAACUAGAAAUCUUCCAAAUUUCCAAUAAGGACCUCUUAAAUUCAA